rnacentral:pre_miRNA from 1 species
CAUGUACUCCCUCCGUUCGGAAUUACUUGUCUCAGAAAUGAAUGUAUCUAGAACUAAAAUAUGUCUAGAUACAUCCAUUUCUGCGACAAGUAAUUCCAAACGGAGGGAGUACUAG